CCUACGGGAGGCAGCAGUAGGGAAUUUUCGUCAAUGGGCGCAAGCCUGAACGAGCAAUGCCGCGUGAACGAGGAAGGUCUUCGGAUCGUAAAGUUCUGUUGAAGGGGAAAAAGAGCGGAGAGAGGAAAUGAACUCCGAUUGAUAUUACCCUUCGUGGCAGUCACGGCUAACUACGGGCCAGCAGCCGCGGUAAUACGUAGGUGGCGAGCGUUAUCCGGAAUGAUUGGGCGUAAAGGGUACGUAGGCGGCCUGCUAAGUCUGGAGUGAAAGGUACCGGCUCAACCGGGAUAGGCACUGGAAACUGGCGGACUAGAGAGCAGGAGAGGGCGGGGGAACUCCAGGUGUAGCGGUAAAAUGCGUAGAUAUAUGGAAGAACACCAGUGGCGAAGGCGGCCGCCUGGCCUGUUACUGACGCUGAGGCACGAAAGCGUGGGGAGCAAAUAGGAUUAGAUACCCUAGUAGUC
rnacentral:rRNA from 1 species